CCUACGGGACGCAGCAGUGGGGAAUAUUGCACAAUGGGGGGAACCCUGAUGCAGCGACGCCGCGUGAGUGAAGAAGUAUUUCGGUAUGUAAAGCUCUGUCAGCAGGGAAGAAGAAAGACGGUACCUGACCAAGAAGCCCCGGCUAACUACGUGCCAGCAGCCGCGGUAAUACGUAGGGGGCAAGCGUUAUCCGGAUUUACUGGGUGUAAAGGGAGCGUAGACGGCAGGGCAAGCCUGGAGUGAAAGGCAGGGGCCCAACCCCUGGACGGUUCGGGCAACUGUCCGGCUGGGGGGCGGGAGUGGUG
rnacentral:rRNA from 1 species